ACCUAGUAGCAUUUUAAUACUUGAAUAUUAGUAGUUAUGUUCUUUAAAAUCAGAGAAUUUGGCGGUAUUUUAGUCUUGUUAGAGGAACUUGUUUUGUAAGCGAUAAAUCACGUAGUAUUUCACUUAUCUUGGUAUUUAUCAGUUUGUAUACCGUCAUUAUUAAAUGAUUUUGAAAGAUGAUUAUUGAAGUUAAUAGUUUAAAUAUAUUAGAUCGAGGUGCAGCUAAUAGGUAAGUUGGGAAUGAGUUACAAUAAAAUUUAUUUAGACGGAUUGUAGAUAGAAUUAUCUAUAAAGAAGGAGGAUUUGAUUGUAAAUCGUUUUUAAUAGGGGGGUUUGAUAUAAGCUCUAAAUUAUGCACAUAUUGCCCGUCACUUUCAUUUAAAAU
rnacentral:rRNA from 1 species